GACGAACGCUGGCGGCGUGCUUAACACAUGCAAGUCGAGCGGAAAGGCCCUUUCGGGGGUACUCGAGCGGCGAACGGGUGAGUAACACGUGAGUAAUCUGCCCCUGGCUUUGGGAUAACCACCGGAAACGGUGAUUAAUACCGGAUACGACCACUUCUCGUAUGGGAUGGUGGUGGAAAGUUUUUCGGCCAGGGAUGUGCUCGCGGCCUAUAAGCUUGAUGGUGAGGUAAUGGCUCACCAUGACUUCGACGGGUAGCCGGCCUGAGAGGGUGACCGGUCACACUGGGACUGAGACACGGCCCAGACUCCUACGGGAGGCAGCAGUGGGGAAUAUUGGACAAUGGGCGGAAGCCUGAUCCAGCAACGCCGCGUGAGGGAUGACGGCCUUCGGGUUGUAAACCUCUUUCAGCAGGGACGAAGCGCAAGUGACGGUACCUGCAGAAGAAGCACCGGCCAACUACGUGCCAGCAGCCGCCGUAA
rnacentral:rRNA from 1 species